CCUACGGGUGGCAGCAGUCGGGAAUAUUGCUCAAUGGAGGAAACUCUGACGCAGUGACGCCGCGUGCAGGAAGAAGGUUUUCGGAUUGUAAAAUGCUUUAGACAGGGGAGAAAAAAGACGGUCCCUGUAGAAUAAGCUCCGGCUAACUACGUGCCAGCAGCCGCGGUAAUACGUAGGGAGCAAGCGUUAUCCGGAUUUAUUGGGUGUAACGGGUGCGUAGACGGGUAAGCAAGUUAGUUGUGAAAUCCCUCGGCUUAACUGAGGAACUGCAACUAAACCUAGCUCCCUUGAGUACUGGAGAGGAAAGUGGAAUUCCUAGUGUAGCGGUGAAAUGCGUAGAUAUUAGGAGGAACACCAGUGGCGAAGGCGACUUUCUGGACAGUAACUGACGUUGAGGCACGAAAGUGUGGGGAGCAAACAGGAUUAGAUACCCGUGUAGUC
rnacentral:rRNA from 1 species